GUUAAAAAUCCAAAAGAGGCGGGGCGCGGUGGCUCACACCUGUAAUCCUAGCACUCUGGGAGGCUGAGGCAGGAGGAUUACUCAAGGGUCAGUCCUAGGUAGAAAAAGAAGCAGCCAGUACCUGCAUAGAUGGCACAUGCUUUCCAGCUAGAGACUCUGUUUCCCAGCCUCCAAUGAAGCUAAGCCCAUCUGUACAACCAAGUUCCUGUCAAAGAAUUGAUUAUUUUCAGGAUUAAAUGAGAUACUGCAAGUGUAGUGCUAAGUACAGUGUCCAGCACUCAGCAUGCAUUCAGUAAGUGACACACAUGAUGAUGAGGACGGUGGAGGAGAGAAAAAUGGUGUCAAAGUGGGACCUUCUACAUUUUAAACGGUGUGAUAUUUUCCAGUGAAAACUUUGGGGCUUUAAAUUUGUUUUAUUAAAGUUAUAUUUGUGUGAAUAUGACUAAAUCAGGGAAAAAACACCCAGCCCCUCUAACUGUGAAGCAUUCAUUCCAUGGCUGCAUGGCCAAAUACAGAGUUAAGAAAUGCUCCCACCAGGCAGGCACGUUGCAAAGCCACCGAUUCACAGCAGAGCUUUUAGCAUCCCCUUUCUUUUUACUUAUGUAUAUGUGCUUGUUCUUGAGCUAUGUGCUUCUGAAUGUCGAUCAGACAAGUAUAUCAGCAACAGUUCCUUUUCCUCCUCCUCCUAAUUUUCUCCUCUCCCUCUGCCUCCUUCUCCUUCUUCCUCUUCAUUUUCUUCGGUUCCUCCUUCUCCGCUUAUAAUGACAUCAUUGUCAUUGUCAACAAUACCAAACAGCAUUUUUCUCUCCAGCACUCCUUUCUCCUUUUCUGAGAGUCCUUCUUUCCCACAUUCUAUAUGGUUCAGAGGGGCAUGGCUCUUCCUUCCUGCUUUUCCCUCCAGUUAGCUGUGAAAACACAGGUAGGGACUUGAGUAAGCAGAAUAACCCAUCUCCCUGGACAUGGUAAUUGGUGAACAGUUGGCAUCUGCCCCAAGCAAAGGCAAUUAGAGACUUGUCAGAUACUUGAGAUUUGAUAUAUAGAAGUAGGGAAAGAGGUAGGAACUCUUCCUUCAUGAUAAAAGUAUGCGGAAGUUACCUGUGGCUUUUAAAAUCAUAAUCACUUGAAAUAACUUGUUUGCAGGAGAGAAAAAAAGGCCAAGAUAAAAAUAGAAGAAGAAAUGAAAGCAAGAGAAGGAGACAGAGAGAGAGAGAGAGAGAGAGAGAGAGAGAGAGAGAGAGAUUGAGAGAGAAUGAAUUAGGAAAGAAUUUGGCAACAAUUUUUGGUUCCUGGAUUCAAAGUUUCUCAAGCUGUAUCUGUACAUACAAUUUUUAGUUACGUUAACAAAAUACAUUAAAAAAUAACCAAUUUGA